rnacentral:rRNA from 1 species
UGGGGAAUAUUGGACAAUGGGCGAAAGCCUGAUCCAGCCAUGCCGCGUGUGUGAAGAAGGUCUUCGGAUUGUAAAGCACUUUAAGUUGGGAGGAAGGGCAGUAAGCGAAUACCUUGCUGUUUUGACGUUACCGACAGAAUAAGCACCGGCUAACUCUGUGCCAGCAGCCGCGGUAAUACAGAGGGUGCAAGCGUUAAUCGGAAUUACUGGGCGUAAAGCGCGCGUAGGUGGUUCGUUAAGUUGAAUGUGAAAGCCCCGGGCUCAACCUGGGAACGGCAUCCAAAACUGGCGAGCUAGAGUAGGGCAGAGGGUGGUGGAAUUUCCUGUGUAGCGGUGAAAUGCAUAGAUAUAGGAAGGAACACCAGUGGCGAAGGCGACCACCUGGGCUCAUACUGACACUGAGGUGCGAAAGCGUGGGGAGCAAACAGG